rnacentral:rRNA from 1 species
GGGGAAAAAUUAAAAAAUUAUAUUUAAUAAAAAAAUUUUUAAUAUUGGGGGAUGUUAAAGUAUUUUUUAUAAAAAAAAUAUAAUUAUUUAUAGUAAAAUAGUAUUGAUAAAGAAGUUUGAAAUAAAUUUGAAAAUAAAUUAAUUAAAAAGUAAAUUUUAAUUAUUGUAUCUUGUGUAUCAGAGUUUAUUAAAAAAUAUUUGUUAAUUAAAAAAAUCUCGAAUUUAAAAGAGUUAAUUAAUUAAAAAAUUUAAUGUUGAAUAAUUAUUUUAAAUAAUUAAUUUGAAAUGAAAUGUUAAUCGUUUUUAAAUAUAUCUAGUUUUUUUAGAAAAAAAUUUAAUUUUAAAUUUAAAAUAUUUUUUAAUUUUUUAUUUAAUUAAAAAAUUUUUAAAAUUAAAUAUAUUAAGGGAUAAGCUUUAAUUUAAAAAUUUAUAUAAAUAUAUAUAUAUAUAUAUAUAUAUAUAUAUAUAUAUAUAUAUAUAUAUAUAUAUAUAUAAAUUAAAUUUAAAAUUUUUAGAAUUUAUAUUGUUUAUAAAAUAAAAUUUAUUAUAAAAAAUUUUAAAAAGAAAAUAAAAUUUAAAAUUAUAUUUAAAUUUUUAUAAAAAUAUAAUUUUUAAUGAAAAAAAAUUAGAAAUAAUGAUAAAAUUAGUAUAUUAAAUUUUUAUAUAUUAAAUUUAAAUUAAAAUUAGUUUAAAGGAAUUCGGCAAAUUUUUAUAUUCACUUGUUUAUCAAAAACAUGUCUUUUUGAUUAAUAAUUUAAAGUCUAAUCUGCCCACUGAUUUAAAAAUUAAAGGGCUGCAGUAUAUUGACUGUACAAAGGUAGCAUAAUAAUUAGUCUUUUAAUUGAAGACUUGUAUGAAAGAUUUGAUGAAAUAUAAACUGUCUCUAAAUUAAAAGUUGAAAUUAAUUUUUUUAUUAAAAAGUUAAAAUAAUUUAAAAAGACGAGAAGACCCUAUAGAGUUUUAUAAUUAUAAUUUUUUAAUAUUUAAUAUAUAAUAAUAAAUUUAAAAAAUUAUAAUUAUUUUGUUGGGGUGAUAGAAAAAUUAAAAUAACUUUUUUUAAAAAAUAAACAUGAAUAAUUGAAUAAAUGAUCCAUAAAUUAUGAUUAAAAGAAAAAAUUACCUUAGGGAUAACAGCGUAAUUUUUUUUUUUAGUACAAAUAAAAAAAAAAGGUUGCGACCUCGAUGUUGGAUUAAGAUAAAAUUUAAAUGCAAAAGUUUAAAAUUUUGAUCUGUUCGAUCAUUAAAAUCUUACAUGAUCUGAGUUCAAACCGGUGUGAGCCAGGUUGGUUUCUAUCUUUUAAAUAAGAAAAUAUUUUAGUACGAAAGGAUCAAAUAUUUUAAAUAAUUUAAUUUUAAGAAUAUUAUUAAUAUUUAAUUUAA